rnacentral:rRNA from 1 species
UGGGGAAUUUUGGACAAUGGGCGCAAGCCUGAUCCAGCAAUGCCGCGUGAGUGAAGAAGGCCUUCGGGUUGUAAAGCUCUUUUGUCAGGGAAGAAACGGCUGAGGUUAAUACCUUCGGCUAAUGACGGUACCUGAAGAAUAAGCACCGGCUAACUACGUGCCAGCAGCCGCGGUAAUACGUAGGGUGCAAGCGUUAAUCGGAAUUACUGGGCGUAAAGCGUGCGCAGGCGGUUUUGUAAGUCUGACGUGAAAUCCCCGGGCUCAACCUGGGAAUUGCGUUGGAGACUGCAAGGCUGGAGUCUGGCAGAGGGGGGUAGAAUUCCACGUGUAGCAGUGAAAUGCGUAGAGAUGUGGAGGAACACCGAUGGCGAAGGCAGCCCCCUGGGUCAAGACUGACGCUCAUGCACGAAAGCGUGGGGAGCAAACAGGAUUAGAUACCCUGGUAGUCCACGCCCUAAACGAUGUCUACUAGUUGUCGGGUCUUAAUUGACUUGGUAACGCAGCUAACGCGUGAAGUAGA